rnacentral:rRNA from 1 species
AUUGAACGCUGGCGGCAUGCUUUACACAUGCAAGUCGAACGGCAGCGCGGGGCAACCUGGCGGCGAGUGGCGAACGGGUGAGUAAUAUAUCGGAACGUACCCAGAAGUGGGGGAUAACGUAGCGAAAGUUACGCUAAUACCGCAUACGAUCUACGGAUGAAAGUGGGGGACCUUCGGGCCUCAUGCUUUUGGAGCGGCCGAUAUCUGAUCAGCUAGUAGGUAGGGUAUAGGCCUACCUAGGCGACGAUCAGUAGCUGGUCUGAGAGGACGACCAGCCACACUGGAACUGAGACACGGUCCAGACUCCUACGGGAGGCAGCAGUGGGGAAUUUUGGACAAUGGGCGCAAGCCUGAUCCAGCAAUGCCGCGUGAGUGAAGAAGGCCUUCGGGUUGUAAAGCUCUUUUGUCAGGGAAGAAACGGUUGGGGCUAAUAUCCUCGGCUAAUGACGGUACCUGAAGAAUAAGCACCGGCUAACUACGUGCCAGCCGCCGCCGUAA